rnacentral:tRNA from 1 species
GGCUAGGUGGCGGAGUGGUUAACGCGGUAGACUCGAAUUUCCAAUGAUUGAUUCAAUCCGGAAACUAAAAAGAAAUCUACUUCCUUCGGGAGCGUCUGUUCAAAUCAGGCCCUAGUCG